AGAGUAUAGCUCAGCGGUAGAGCAUGUGCUUAGCAUGCACAAGGUCCUGGGCUCAUUCCCCAGUGACUCCA
rnacentral:tRNA from 1 species